CCUAAAACAAGCUGAUAGCCUCUGUCUCAUUAGAGACAUGCAAGUUCAAGGCAAAAUGAUAACAAAAAUAUGAAGAUAAGGCAUAAUUCAAGGAAAAGGAUGAGCGUAUGAACUUGGACUCAUUGCUGGAGGAAGCAGAAAGAACCACUGCAGCCAUUCAGCCCAGUCCCUUCACAAUCCCAGAUACUUAUCAUAGAAACUGGAUUAAAUCACCUAAGGAUAAGUUCCUCAGGUGAAAAUGAAGCAGACAAAAAUCAUUUUCAUUAUUUUUUUCUCCAGUCUGCACUCACUGUCAGAGGCAGAGAUGUGUUAUGUGGAGGUAUGGGACUCAGGGGACAAAAGGACUGAGCACAGCCCUUCUGAAAAGGACUUGGAGGUAAAUAUACAGAUUGCCAGCUGUAAAAGCACAUAUUGAGUACACCUGAAAGCAAUUUGCCCAGAUAAAGCUUUUGGGAUCUCACUUUUGGCUUUCUACAAGAGGGGAUUUAAUGCCUAGAGCCUGAUUCUGAACAUGGGAACACUGUGUAUGAUCAGUACAAUUCAGGAAGAGUUUGAACUAGAAAAGGCAUAGAGUUCCUGCCUUCAACCCUCCUGGAGAUCUCUAAGCUGCUGGGAUGCCAGGAAAAGCCACAAUAUGAGGUGUACCACCAUCUGGGAUGUUGUCAUGUACUUACUCUACAACCAUAAUCCACUAGGAUCUUCAGUUCAGCAGAUCAAAGCCAGGAAGAUUGUUGGGCCAUCUUUCUCCUGGAUAACACUAAAGAGAUAAUUAACAUGGGAGCACCAGAGAGAUCUGACAACAGUUGUUCUUUGGAUGGAAGAAUGGGUUUCUCCUUGAAGAGCUGCUUUGGGGACAUUAAAAUUGAAAGUGGAAAUGCCACAGCACGAAACACUCAAAGUGGCAUUCUGACACAGUCGAGGAGGGAAACAUAUUGCAUCCACAUUGGUAGAAACACAGAUGUGCCCAUCAGGUUAAAAGUGCAGUUAUGCUUUCCAGGGAUGUAGGCAUAUCCUGAGAUGAUUAAACUUCACUGAACCACUGCAGUGGUCCUUUAUAAACCUCAAAGGACUAGAAAGGUUUGUCAGAAGAUGUAGUAAGUGCUGGGGGCGCAGAUCUCAGUCCCAACAUUGCAUCUACAUAAAUAUCAUCUCUGCAAGAAAACUGAAUGCUCAGACCACACAGCAGACCGAGAAAAUGUAACGUGCAGCCCUGUGUCAGCACUUGUAUUUCUUUUGG
ensembl:lncRNA